UACGGAGGGUGCAAGCGUUAUCCGGAUUCACUGGGUUUAAAGGGUGUGUAGGCGGGUAUUUAAGGCAGUGGGGAAAUCUCCAGGCUCAACCUGGAAACUGCCAUUGAUACUAUUUAUCUUGAAUAUCGUUGAGGUUGGCGGAAUAUAUCAUGUAGCGGUGAAAUGCAUAGAUAUGAUAUAGAACACCGAUUGCGAAGGCAGCUAACUAAGCGAUUAUUGACGCUGAGGCACGAAAGCGUGGGGAUCAAACAGG
rnacentral:rRNA from 1 species